GAUCAUGGCUCAGGACGAACGCUGGCGGCGUGCCUAACACAUGCAAGUCGAACGGAGAAUUUUUAUUUCGGUAGAAUUCUUAGUGGCGAACGGGUGAGUAACGCGUAGGCAACCUACCCUUUAGACGGGGACAACAUUCCGAAAGGAGUGCUAAUACCGGAUGUGAUCAUCGUGCCGCAUGGCAGGAUGAAGAAAGAUGGCCUCUCAAGUAAAGCUAUCGCUAAAGGAAUGGGCCUGCGU
rnacentral:rRNA from 1 species